GAAAAAAAACACAUCCUCUUCCGCUUUUUCUUGUACGUUUUUUCUUUUUUUUUGGUGCUUCCUAUUUCCCUUCCCU
rnacentral:ribozyme from 12 species